UACGUAGGGGGCAAGCGUUGUCCGGAAUCAUUGGGCGUAAAGCGCGCGUAGGUGGCCUCAUAAGUCCGCUGUGAAAGUCAAAGGCUCAACCUUUGAAAGCCGGUGGAUACUGUGAGGCUAGAGUACGGAAGAGGCGAGUGGAAUUCCUGGUGUAGCGGUGGAAUGCGCAGAUAUCAGGAGGAACACCAAUAGCGAAGGCAGCUCGCUGGGACGUAACUGACGCUGAGACGCGAAAGCGUGGGGAGCAAACAGG
rnacentral:rRNA from 1 species